CCUACGGGGGGCAGCAGUGAGGAAUAUUGGUCAAUGGCCGGGAGGCUGAACCAGCCAAGUCGCGUGAGGGAAGACGGCCCUACGGGUUGUAAACCUCUUUUGUCAGGGAGCAAGGUGCAGGUCGGGACCUGCUGUGAGAGUACCUGAAGAAAAAGCAUCGGCUAACUCCGUGCCAGCAGCCGCGGUAAUACGGAGGAUGCGAGCGUUAUCCGGAUUUAUUGGGUUUAAAGGGUGCGCAGGCGGAGGCACAAGUCAGCGGUAAAAUCGCGGGGCUCAACCCCGCUCCGCCGUUGAAACUGUGUCGCUUGAGUGCGCGAAGGGUAGGCGGAAUGCGUGGUGUAGGGGUGAAAUGCAUAGAUAUCACGCAGAACUCCGAUCGCGAAGGCAGCCUACCGGCGCGCAACUGACGCUCAUGCACGAAAGCGUGGGUAGCGAACAGGAUUAGAUACCCGGGUAGUC
rnacentral:rRNA from 1 species